CGUCUGUAACAGGGUCAUAUUUUGGGACUCUGUCAAUUAAUGUUGGUGAAGAAUGUCCUGAUCAGUGUCUUGAUUGUUGGAAGUUUUUAAUAAGUGAGUUUAUAGUUUUGGUUGUGAGAUAAUGUAAAUUCAUUAAAAUGUUUUGGGGGAUGGAUUUUCAGUUGUAUGGGUCUGGAAUUGUAUUGUCCGGAUUAUGGUGUUUUAUUUUAGUGGUUGAAAUGUCUUAGUUCUUAUAUGGGUUUACUUUUAAUAUUUUUUGGUAUAGUUGAAAGGAUAACUCGUUGGACUCUUUAUAGUUCUGAAGGUGGUCUCUUUCUGAAAUAUUGUUUAUCAGGUGAUUAGUAAUUCUUUGUCCUGGUUGGUUAUUCAGAAGUUUAGCUGGGAUAAAACUAAAUUACACGCAUGCAUCAGUACCACAUGUUACAGAUUUAGUGAAGGUCAAUACCGGCUCUUUUCCACAAAUGGGGCCAACUUGUCGAGCAUAAAUGUAUUUUGUGUUAUAGUUAUGUGUAGUACCAACAGAAAUGGUGUUUAAUGGUUAUGGUGAAUUGAAAUACAUCUAGAUCGACCAACAUCGACUACGCGCUUACGCGUUUCAUUUAAUUGUUUUAAACUGUAUCAUGUGUCGUUUGUGGAUUAUAUAAACUUAUUUAAACCUUA